rnacentral:rRNA from 1 species
GAUGAACGCUGGCGGCGUGCCUAAUACAUGCAAGUCGAGCGAACAGACGAUGAGCUUGCUCCUCUAACGUUAGCGGCUGACGGGUGAGUAACACGUGGAUAACCUACCUAUAAUACUGGGAUAACUUCGGGAAACCGGAGCUAAUACCGGAUAAUAUAUUGAACCGCAUGGUUCAAUAGUGAAAGACGGUUUUGCUGUCACUUAUAGAUGGAUCCGCGCCGCAUUAGCUAGUUGGUAAGGUAACAGCUUACCAAGGCAACGAUGCGUAGCCGACCUGAGAGGGUGAUCGGCCACACUGGAACUGAGACACGGUCCAGACUCCUACGGGAGGCAGCAGUAGGGAACAUUCCGCAAUGGGCGAAAGCCUGACGGUGCAACGCCGCGUGAGUGAUGAAGGUCUUCGGAUCGUAAAACUCUGUUAUUAGGGAAGAACAACUGUGUAAGUAACUACGCACGUCUUGACGGUACCUAAUCAGAAAGCAACGGCUAACUACGUG